CAAGGGCGGCUAGGAGGUCAGAACGAAAGUUGAGAAGCUAAUUAAAUGAAGGUGCGAGGGGAAGGAGGAAAGUGAAUCUGUUUACCUCAAGAAAGGAUCCUAGAGAGUCCCAAACCCGCUGUUCGAGAUCGACGCGAACGAUCCUCUGGACGACUUCAGGCAGGACGCAGCCAUCGACCAGUCGCUUUAUCAGGUCCCUGUCAUUAAAAGGAUUCUCC
rnacentral:lncRNA from 1 species